rnacentral:rRNA from 1 species
GACGAACGCUGGCGGCGUGCUUAACACAUGCAAGUCGAACGGAAAGGCCCUGCUUUUGUGGGGUGCUCGAGUGGCGAACGGGUGAGUAACACGUGAGUAACCUGCCCUUGACUUUGGGAUAACUUCAGGAAACUGGGGCUAAUACCGGAUAGGAGCUCCUGCUGCAUGGUGGGGGUGGGAAAGUUUCGGCGGUUGGGGAUGGACUCGCGGCUUAUCAUCUUGUUGGUGGGGUAGUGGCUUACCACGGCUUUGACGGGUAGCCGGCCUGAGAGGGUGACCGGCCACAUUGGGACUCGGGUACGACCCAGACUCCUACGGGAGGCAGCAGUGGGAGAUAUUGCACAAUGGGCGGAGGCCUGAUGCAGCAACGCCGCGUGCGGGAUGACGGCCUUCGGGUUGUAACCCGCUUGCGCCUGUGAAGAAGAGUGAGUGACGGUAAUGGGUAAAGAAGCACCGGCUAACUACGUG